GACGUAGGGCGCGAGCGUUGUCCGGAUUUAUUGGGCGUAAAGAGCGUGUAGGCGGCCAGGUAGGUCUGCUGUGAAAACUCGAGGCUCAACCUCGAGACGUCGGCGGAAACCAUCUGGCUAGAGUCCGGAAGAGGAGAGUGGAAUUCCUGGUGUAGCGGUGAAAUGCGCAGAUAUCAGGAAGAACACCCGUGGCGAAGGCGGCUCUCUGGGACGGUACUGACGCUGAGGCGCGAAAGCCAGGGGAGCGAACGGG
rnacentral:rRNA from 1 species